GGUUGUAGUUCAGUUGGUUAGAACGCCUGAUUGUGGUUCAGGAGGUCGCCGGUUCGAGUCCGGUCUUCCA
rnacentral:tRNA from 1 species